rnacentral:rRNA from 1 species
UACGAGGGGAGCAAGCGUUGUUCGGAUUUACUGGGCGUAAAGGGCGCGUAGGCGGUCGUGACAAGUCACUUGUGAAAUCUCCGGGCUUAACUCGGAACGGUCAAGUGAUACUGUCGGACUAGAGUAAAGAAGGGGCAACUGGAAUUCUCGGUGUAGCGGUGAAAUGCGUAGAUAUCGAGAGGAACACCUGCGGCGAAGGCGGGUUGCUGGGCUGAUACUGACGCUGAUGCGCGAAAGCCAGGGGAGCGAACGGG